UAGCUCAGUUGGUUAGAGUGCCGGCCUGUCACGCCGGAGGUCGCGGGUUCGAGCCCCGU
rnacentral:tRNA from 1 species